rnacentral:rRNA from 1 species
UACAGAGGUGGCAAGCGUUGUUCGGAAUUACUGGGCGUAAAGGGCGCGUAGGCGGCCCGUCAAGUCCCGUGUGAAAGCCCCCGGCUCAACCGGGGAACGGCGCGGGAAACUAGCAGGCUUGAGUUCGGGAGAGGGAAGCGGAAUUCCUGGUGUAGCGGUGAAAUGCGCAGAUAUCAGGAGGAACACCGAUGGCGAAGGCAGGUCUCUGGGCCAUAACUGACGCUGAGAAGCGAAAGCAUGGGGAGCGAACAGG